AAAGUCGUAACAAGGUCUCCGUUGGUGAACCAGCGGAGGGAUCAUUACAGUAGACCGCCUCCGGGCCCUACCAACCCCGUGAACCUAUACAGACGUUGCCUCGGCGGGUCCGCCCGCCGCAGUGCCGACACAUAAAACCCAAACCACAGCCGCCGUGCCUCUGACUGCAGCCUCGUGCUGCGAUUUUAUAAUGAGUUAAAAACUUUCAACAACGGAUCUCUUGGCUCCG
rnacentral:misc_RNA from 1 species